ACCACUAAGAUGAAAUGGAGGUUCUCUCAGAAAAGAAAUGUUCAUCUAUCUGGCUGAUUACAUAUAAAUUAAACAUUGUAUGUUUCACAGUGGGUCCCCUACCAGCAGUCUGGACUGACUGCAAAUGAAGGAUUAACAUUUUCCAAAAGAAAAACAGGAAGAAAAAGCAGCCUGAGGAAGGGAUUUGCACCACUAUAUUUGGGAGGCUUUGAAAAAUCGCUGAAGAGAACUUUGGAUGGAGUGAGGCCUGGAAAAUAGUUUGUGUGUUACCACAGGCUGGUGCAUUCAGGGAGCUGAUCCACAGCAGGCACAGACAAGGCUGCUUCAUACGAAGAGCAGGUGGUGAUGAGUCUUCCAUGAAACCGGAACGCAUGGUCGUGAACCACUCCACACAGCGUGACAUGGGGUUUUGUUCACAUGCAUGUUUGUGGAAACUAAGUCUUGGGAAUAAAUCUGGGUGAAGGUUCCUGCCAGGACCAUUCACAAGUCAUCUUGAAAUCUCUGAGAGAUUGGAAGAAAAGGAAGACAUCACACAAUCCCAAA